AAGAAACCAACAGGGAUUGCCCCAGUAACGGCGAGUGAAGCGGCAACAGCUCAAAUUUGAAAUCUGACUUCGGUCCGAGUUGUAAUUUGCAGAGGAUGCUUCGGCGUUGGACCCGUGCUAGGUUCCUUGGAACAGGACGUCAUAGAGGGUGAGAACCCCGUCUUUGCUCGGGACCCCUUCGCCGUGUGAAGCUCCUUCGACGAGUCGAGUUGUUUGGGAAUGCAGCUCUAAGCGGGAGGUAAAUUUCUUCUAAAGCUAAAUAACGGCCAGAGACCGAUAGCGCACAAGUAGAGUGAUCGAAAGAUGAAAAGCACUUUGGAAAGAGAGUUAAACAGUACGUGAAAUUGUUGAAAGGGAAGCUCUUGCUGCCAGACUUGACCCGGUUGCUCAGCCGUCCUUCUGGGCGGUGUAUUCUUCCGUGGGCAGGCCAGCAUCAGUUCGGGCGGCCGGAUAAAGGCGCCAGGAAUGUAGCCCCUCGGGGUGUUAUAGCCUGGCGCGUCAUGCGGUCCGCCUGGACUGAGGACAGCGUUUUCUUGGAUGCUG
rnacentral:rRNA from 1 species